UCAGGGCAUCUAAUCUUGUUUCUUCUUUUUUGGA
rnacentral:sRNA from 1 species